ACUCGAAGCUGAAAGUGACAGAUUGGAAGCCACAAUCCAGCAACAAAGCAGACUGAUUGAAGCCCUUCAGAGACGCCGGCAAGCCUCUGCCUCAGCUCUUAAUCCCCAGAAGACCUUGGUAACUCCCUUUCAGUCAGCACAGAUGACCGCAGACGGGCCUCCACACCAGCAGUGUCAGUGUGAGAGAACGGAACAGAAGCAGCAGGUCAUGUUGAAACACCCAGUCGAAGUACACCUCCAGCAGGAAAAGAAAAGCAACAGCAAACUGCAGAGAGAACAUGACAGGUUAAGGAGGCAUCUGAAUGCAGCUCUGAAGAUCCUAAGCAAAUAUGAGGCCAGAGAAAGAGAGACCCAGUUUAAUACUGCAGGAGACACGAUGAGCAGCUGCUCUGAAGGGGCCCGUGAAGCUGACAAAUUAACAGCAAAGCUCAAAGAACUUUCGCAGCAGCUGGAGAUGGAGUCUGAAAAACGCAGGCAGCUAGUAGCACAAACUUGCAACCUGCAAGAAGAGCUGUCUGCUCUGCGUGGGUCUCAGGAAAAACUGGAGAAGACCAAUGUCCAGCUGCAAAAAGAGGUGGCAUACCUCAAAGAUCUUCUGAAGACUUACAAGACACAGGCAGCCUCUCUGGACACGCAAGAUCUGACAAGAUUCCCUCCUCGUGCUUCUCUGAGAAAGAAGCUAACGCACAGAAGCAGAGAUGCUGACUCUGAAGAGGAGGAUGUUAGGGAAAAGACACUGCAAGAGCAUACUUCUCCAUAUGAGUCCAUUGAGGCAAGGCUGGCAAGUUACAAGCACUACUAUCUGCAGGAAGUAAACCUCAGAAGACGCCUAGAAAAGGACCUCCAAAAAGCUCAUCAGAGACUCAACGAAGCCAACGCUAAGCUCAACCAGAAGGCCGGAAGCACCACUGAAGCCUGCGUGGCUAAGGUCAGCAUUCAUUAAUGUUAUUCUCAACCCCUCUGAAAGAAUAUCUGUGGGCAAGCUUGUGCUUCUGAGCCUCAAGUUAGAAUCCCUUUGUGGUUCCAAAACACACCGUCUUUAUGCUAAAACAACUGCUAAGCAUCAGAAGAGUGCACAACUGUAUGGGGGAGGGCUGAAGACCUCUGGUCAUUGGGGGGUGUGCAAAAUACAGAGUGCCCUUCUUCUUCUGAAAAGUCAUAAGGGAAAGAGUGAAGGGAAAGACAGGGAGAAUAGACAAAAUGACCGUAAAAAUGGUAAUGAGAGAACGGGCACCAGACAAA
rnacentral:lncRNA from 1 species